rfam:Daucus carota subsp. sativus cultivar DH1 chromosome 5, whole genome shotgun sequence.
UGACAAAAUCUGUUAAGCUCAGGAGGGAUAGCGCCACUGGGUCUUUCUGCAUGUGUGUUCCCUUUUGUAUGUGUGUUGAUGUGUAAUCACUAUACGUUGCGCUAUCCAUCCUGAGUUUCAUGGAAUUUUCAU